ACUGCAAUUGGAUACCUGUCAGACUGAGUACAGAUGAGUUAGACGACUGUGUGGGUGUAGCGGUGAAUUGCUAGAUAUCACCACAGAAACACCGAUGCGAAGGCAGCUUACUAAACUGACACUGACGCUGAGGCACGAAAGUGUGGGGAUCAAACAGGAUUAGAUACCCUGGUAGUCCACCACUGUAAACGAUGAUUACUGGAUGUUUGCGAUACACUGUAAGCGUCUCAAGCGAAAGCAUUAAGUAAUCCACCUGGGGAGUACGUCGGCAACGAUGAAACUCAAAGGAAUUGACGGGGGCCCGCACAAGCGGAGGAACAUGUGGUUUAAUUCGAUGAUACGCGAGGAACCUUACCUGGGCUUAAAUGUAGAGUGCAUGAGGUAGAAAUACUUCUUUCCUUCGGGACUUUCUGCAAGGUGCUGCAUGGUUGUCGUCAGCUCGUGCCGUGAGGUGUCGGGUUAAGUCCCAUAACGAGCGCAACCCUUAUCGUUAGUUGCCAGCGGGUCAAGCCGGGAACUCUAACGAAACUGCCGGUGUAAACCGAGAGGAAGGUGGGGAUGACGUCAAAUCAGCACGGCCCUUAUGUCCAGGGCUACACACGUGUUACAAUGGCCGGUACAGAGGGCAGCUACCUGGAGACAGGAUGCGAAUCUCGAAAGCCGGUCUCAGUUCGGAUCGGAGUCUGCAACCCGA
rnacentral:rRNA from 1 species